GUUGGAGAUCCCUCUCUUGUGGACUUUUCCCUGUGAGCCUAGAUCUUUGGAGAUGGGGAGAAGAGCAGGGUGGUGAAAAUCUUGUGCAAUGAAUAUUUGAGUCUAGUCCAAGGGUUAUUGAAAUCUAGAGGAGAGACUGGAUCCUAUCCUGUUGUGGUGUAGCAGCAUCAGUGCACUGUUCAACAGCAGCUGUUCAGAACGUGACUGGCCAUUGCAACACUUCACCAUAUGUGACACCAUCAGACUAUCACUACCUGGAUCUCAGCAAUAAUUCUCUCUCAAAUACCCAGAAAUCUCCUUGGACCCUUUGCUGAGAAUGUCCUUGGCUCUGCUUAGCAGAAAUGAUGAAUAUUGGCGUGCUAUCAACAUUGUUUUUCUCCUAGAACCAAAAGCGUAGCAUCAUACCAGACACUGAAGAAAAGAAUUCCAUCCCAGCUGAAACUAAGAUACACAUUCUCUUCUACUUUUAAGUACUGGAAGGCAACUAUGGGGAAAGGGUAGAACAACAGGCUAACACAACAUAAAAAUGCAAAAAAAAACCCUCAUAUCCCUUUGGGGAAUUCCUUGCUGUUCUACAGUGAUACAUCAUCAGUAAGCUCCAGGUUUGGCUUGUUUUUUUCAAUGGUAAUUAAAGGAGAUGUCCCAUUGUGGUAUCUCUCUCAAUACCACUCCUUUACACUGGAAGACUGCAUUGGCAUAUCUGCAUCUGUAAUAGGCAACUGAAGUGAGUUACUUAAUUUUAGUGUGUCUAAAUUUAUAAAUUAAAACAAACAAAUAAACAAGCAAUAACUUUUGGAAAUAGGUAAAAGUUAGAAAAUUCAGACAGAUUAGUAAGCAGUUGCAGGAAUAUUUGAGAAUAAAGACCAGAAGGCAUUUCAAGGGUAUUUGGAAAGACUUCAUGUACCAGAUGGUAUCUGGCAAGAACAUUUGCAUUUAAGCUUACUUUUGCACACCAAAUCUGUUUUUCAUUAGGGAAGGAAAAGUUUCACAUGCAGAUCUAAAAAUUCAUAAAGUGUAUUUUUUCAUGAGUUUGAUUUGAGAGAUUAAUGCUCAAUGAGGAGGUGGGUGGUGUCUUUCAGCAGUGGUGACAGUGCACCUCCACUGGUGCAGAUUUUUAAGAGUGCAGCAUGCAGGCUCUUGUUCAGUGGCUGGUGAAAACGCAUAGCUAAUGCUGUUGACUGUGCUGAAAAAUAGUGUUUUGUAGCUGAGAAUUUGCUGUAUCAAAUACUGUUAUUGUGCUUUCUUAUCUGUUGUAGUUUCCACAGAAAUAACUAGGAAGCAUUAUUUUUCAGAGCGAUCUAUGUGUAAAGCAAUGAAUUUGAGUCAUUGUUAAUUCUCUCAAUGUCUAAUCCAAAUUCCUUAUGAUUUUCAAAACAAUCUCAGUUCAGCUGCUCAUACAUUUUUGCUCAUAAAGAUGUGCAUUCUAACUGGUUUAAGCUGAAUGGAAGAGAGUUUCAGUGGCAUAAAUACUCAGGUGGGAGUGAGACUCGGGUUGAAUCUCUAAGCAGCAGCAAGAAAAGGAAAUAUGGCUUUCCUGUCUGACAAGGACUUCAAAACAAACAAACAAAAAAUAUUGAUUUUAAGACAUAAUUGAUAUGCAUUAUCCUGGUUUGAAGACCAUUCCUUUAUAAGAGGAAUGGUGCAGGAAAAACAAACCAGUCUAACUGUCCUAGAAAUACAUUACAAAACUGUACAAAAUAUACUGACGUGCUUGUUAAUGUAUCUUAAAAACGCAACUGCAGAUUUAAAAUAGACAUAUUUACUGUCUAAAUGACCACACUAUCAUAUUUGGUGUUACAUGAGAUCUGAUCAUGCAUUGUGUUCACUGAAAUGUUCAGUCUAAAUACCCAAAGCUUUUAGAGAUGCACUAAAAACUAACAUACAUUAAAAAAUACAUUUCCAUAUUACUUAGAAUUUUAUAAAUCCACAUAUGUUUCUUUGGAAAACAAAUCCUCCAGCACCUAGGCAAUUGAAAACAACAUUUUAAUCUGUGACAUCAAUUUUGCUCCUACUUCUUGUAAGCAAUAAGAUAGUAACUACAAAGUUACCCUGGAUUACAGGACAUUCAUUCGUUGGCACACUUGCACCAGUCCCUACAAAAGACUUUUCUCAAAGAUGAGAUGAGAGCUACAGAUUCUCUUAAUUCGCUACAGAUCUUUAAUGUGGAACAAAUUUACUAACGGUUGUGAUUUAAAUAUACAUGUUGCAAGUGCCAGUCAAGCACCUUAAUGAACAUCCUUCCCUUCUGGCAAUCCUGAGCUAUCAUGGGUCUGAUGCUCUUACAGCACCUGUGGCAGUAGAUCAGCAAAUCUGAAAAUCACGACCUGAUUUUGCUAAUUUGAAUGUAAUUCAUAAAGAUUUUACCAGAGCAUAGAGAUACAAGAGAAAGAACUCUGCCUUUGCUAAUUCCCAUUUUGGUGCAGCUGGCUGAGGCUGAAAGCUUUGUGUCAGUGCACAACACUUUACUGAUUCCCACUGGAAUUAUGGAUCAACAAACAAGUUUGAUAAAUGAAGUUAAUCAUUUUCUUAGUUCCAAUCUCCAUUUUUUUAAUUUCCAAACAUUACCUUGGAACCAAGAACUUACAGAAUAAUAUUUACAUGUUUGUACUGAGUAAUGAGAAAAGUAAAGACACUCUCAUCUUACUUAACAUGCUGUUAUUCUGAGAUUUUUAUGCAUCGUUUUAUCUAAUUAAAGAUGUAGAUAACAUUGCUGGAAAUUAAGGGCAAUGUCUCUGUAGAAUCUCAGAUUCUGCAUGUUCAAUCUCCACUGUCUGUGUUAUGAAAGGGCUACAAAGAAGAUAAGGAAUGAAGGACUGAAAAGGACCUUCAGUCUACUUCCCUGUAAUUGGAGAAUUGUACCUUGCUAUCACAUGUGCAAAAUUAUCAAAGUCCAGUGUAAAUUUGUGUAUGUUGAAAGCUGAUCUCCUACACGCUAUUCCACCAGGAAGGCUGUUCUUAACCCUUGCGGCUCUGGAAAACCCAUGAAAACAAGAAGUGAUGUAGACAGAGAAGGAGUUGGAUGAACUGUCAUUUGCAAGACUGUGAAAUCUCACAGGAUUUCGAGUGAAUAGCUUCUAGCCAAAGAUCUCCUAACAGCAGCUUGUUUGCUUGGAAAACUAUCUGAAAGCACCUGGCAAAGCCUAGAACUACACUAGUCUCCUUACGGCAGACUCUGCCUGGAGUCCCAGCAGCAGAUUAAAACCAAAAUUUCUGCUGUGGAAGUUCUUAGCUCUGCAGACAAAAAAAGAAAGGCCGUAGUCUAGGGAGAUAGCUGACAGCUGAAAGGCAUAAGUGGUUAUAGUCAUCACAGAUGGGGAAAAAAUCCUAAGCAGAGAGAAAAAAAGCUGUUCAGUUGUCCUUAGGCUUGACAAUACUUUGCAUGCUGCCAUUUUCAAAAAGAAGUGAAGACACUGAAAAAUGUACAGUGGUACUGGCAUUUGACUUCAGAGGUCCCAUCUCUUCACCAGUAAGACUUACCAACACUCAUUGUUCAUGGUCCUGCUGUUUGAUAAGACAAUUAAUGUUGGCCAUGUUCAGGUACCCAUGAGGACAGGAAGAGCUCUUCACAUUAUCUUUACAAAUUGGAGGAAUAAUGGAGAAAGAAAUGAAGGCCUUAAUUUUAUCCAGACAAAACAGUUAUGGAAAUACAAUUGGAAAAUAGCUAGCUGCGUGACGGUAGUUCAGAAAAAGUGAUUGAAUAUUCCAGUUGUUCAUAAGAUGAGGAGGGCUUGGGAUCAAAACUAUACAGUUUUGGCAUAGAACUUCCAGUUUGGAGAGGCCAUUAAGAAUCAUCAAUUAUCUUGAAAUACUACC